rnacentral:lncRNA from 1 species
CAUGCUAAGGUACCACGGGAGUGCCAACUUUCACCCAGUGGCCCCAUUUAUUAGAUAAAGAAGGACAGAGAGUUGAAAGAUUGCUUAAUGCAGGGUGGCAGGGGCUGAAGCAUUGCUGGGUCCUAAAGAACAAAGGAGGAGGAGUUUCUGUCCGAGCUUGUUUGUGCAGCCAAUUAAAUCAAGCAUCUUCCUCAGUAUCAUGGAGAGACUGGAGGUUAGAGACUCCAAAACCAUCCCUGGCUUAAUGACUUUGGGAUCCCUGGGCCCCUCCAUGCAGCAGA